GAUGAACGCUAGCGGGAGGCCUAACACAUGCAAGCCGAGCGGUAUUUCUUCUUCGGAAGAGAGAGAGCGGCGCACGGGUGCGUAACACGUGUGCAACCUACCUUCAUCUGGGGGAUAGCCUUUCGAAAGGAAGAUUAACACCCCAUAAUAUACUGAAUGGCAUCAUUUGAUAUUGAGAACUCCGGUGGAUAAAGAUGGGCACGCGCAAGAUUAGAUAGUUGGUGAGGUAACGGCUCACCAAGUCAAUGAUCUUUAGGGGUCCUGAGAGGGAGAUCCCCCACACUGGUACUGAGACACGGACCAGACUCCUACGGGAGGCAGCAGUGAGGAAUAUUGGACAAUGGGUGAAAGCCUGAUCCAGCCAUCCCGCGUGAAGGAUGACGGUCCUAUGGAUUGUAAACUUCUUUUGUACAGGAAUAAACCUACUCUCGUGAGAGUAGCUGAAGGUACUGUACGAAUAAGCACCGGCUAACUCCGUGCCAGCCGCCGCCGUAA
rnacentral:rRNA from 1 species